UACGUAGGGUGCAAGCGUUGUCCGGAAUUAUUGGGCGUAAAGAGCUCGUAGGCGGUCUGUCGCGUCGGCUGUGAAAACUCGGGGCUCAACCCCGAGCCUGCAGUCGAUACGGGCAGACUAGAGUGCUGUAGGGGAGACUGGAAUUCCUGGUGUAGCGGUGAAAUGCGCAGAUAUCAGGAGGAACACCGGUGGCGAAGGCGGGUCUCUGGGCAGUAACUGACGCUGAGGAGCGAAAAGCGUGGGGAGCGAACAGG
rnacentral:rRNA from 1 species